AGCAGGUCAUUUCUGCAUUGCCACUGAGUUUAGUUAGACCGAGGAUUUUGUUACUGGCCUUGGAAGCAUAAUUCAAAAUAUCAUUCCUGUGUUGACUUGGUUUACAUUAGAGAAGAUCCCCACAGUCAGGCUCAUAGUAUUGCUGCCUCUCUUUAUCCAGGAGCGUGGGCAGCACCUCCUACCCUAUGUAAUUUUCCACCGUAUGGGGACCACACAAGCACCACUUGUAGGACAUGCCUGAGCAUCUCUUCUGAGGCAUCUCCCAGUGGAGUAGUGCCUGUCCGAAGUACCAGAGAAAACCAAAGGAGUCUGGAGAUGCUUUGUUUCCCACUUGCUAACAGCAUUAGGAUACAUCAUAGCCAUCCCACUUGGAACUGACAUGUUUAUCCAUGAGUGGAGUAACAUGUUUUCUGCAGGUAAAGUGAUGUAGUUGUCAUCACCAGAAGGCUGCUUUUCCUCCAACAUUGUUUCUCUUAUAAGAGGAUGAUAUGGAAAGCCUUUUGGGAUCUCAGUUGUAACAUUCCUUACCUGUGUCUUCAGCAUUUAACAUGUGCUUUCACAAUCAGAUUAUAUAUCACUUAUCGUAGUAGUCUUUACUUUUGAGCCAUUCACUUCAAUCUUUGUCAUCUGUUUUUUGUUUUUUUUUUUGUUUUUUUUUUAACUUGCAUUAGACCUGCCUUAUUCCUCCUGUUUGUUUACAGUUUCAGGAUACCGUGGACAGCUUGAUGCACACUGAUAUAAUAGAACAGUGUGUGGAAAGUUCCAUUAUUUUGGCUUUUUUUUGGUAAUGAGCUUUUAUCUUCCAACCACCUAAUUUCUUAAGAGCCCAGUGCUUUUAACUUUUUUUUUUUUACUAUUACAGAGUGAAGCCUAAUGUCUUCAUUUCUAAACCAGUAGCCACAUAGCUCACUUUCCCUUUACUGACUCUGCUAAUGAUAUUGCUGUAAGCAAAUAUUUUCCCAUAUUCUUUCAUGGGACUGUAGUCUGUUUAUGCCUCAGUGUCAAUUUUGGAUUGUGUAAGUAAUUGAUCUGCGUAUAGACGAUUACACAGAAGUAAGCACUAUUAUUUCAUUACUCUGCUUUAAUGCCUAGAAAGGAGGUUGCAAUAUCCUUGACGAACUCCUCUCCUUCAAGGCAUCUGUAAGUGUUUCUCUCCUACUAGAAUAUGAUUUGGAGUUUGAAUGUGUCUUUUGCCACUGCAUUGAUAACCCCUCUGGCCUUAUGAGAUGCAAAAUCUUAUUGCCCACAACACAUGUAAUCAAUUUCUUGGAGAGUUAAAGGGAUAGAGAUCAUCCAGACGUGCUCACAGGUAGAAUACAAGGCAUUUCUAGAAUUCUCAUCUUUAAGAACAGGGCUGUAUAACAGUAGCUGUCCUUGAAUCUUCCUGCCCUUGUUUCAUCUCAGUGAAUGCACUCUGAGUCUUACGGUCUUCUACCUAUGUCAGAUACCUGGGUUGUCUCAGGACUUGCACUCAUUUCCACUUGGGCUUGCUCAUUGAAAUGUGUAUGUUUUAAAGCCUAUCAGUAGCACACUUCUGGACUAUUUUUCAUGAAAGUCAUAUUUUGCUUUUACUUCAGCUGCUGUUUAUUAUUUGAGACUCUUCACAGGAUAAGAGAUCCAUGUAGAUAUGUUUUGUUGCAUUUCAUCAUUAUUUUAAUAGGCUUGCACUAUAAAAUUAAUAUUUGCAUGUCCAGAGUUGUUCGUAUCUGCAGCUUGGCUGGGUUUGUUUGGCUGUGUGAGCUUCCAGACACGUGAAAAUCCCAGAAGAUCAACCAAAAUAGUCACAUUUCAAGGGAGGAAAAGACAUACGGGUCUUACUGCCCCUAUGUUGGGUAAAAUACAUGAGCUUGCUAUUAACAAACCAUUAUUAGGAAGACUGUUCUCAUAUGCUCUGGUAACUAAAGCACAGCCAGAAUCAGUUUCUAAAUUAACUUUUUUAAGGGAUUGUAUCUUUCACGUUUUAGCCACCAUAUGUUUGAUUUUUCUACUGAGCUCUGUUGUCAUUUGUGACGUUUCUUGACAUCCAACUCCCUGGUUUCUCAUGCUACUUGUGCUUCUGCCUUUUCUAAAAAAAAGAAACCUGGCAAGAAUUUUAACUGAAAGUUAAAUAUGGGUAUUAACUAAAAGCAAAGGGUACACUGAUGCCCAGUUCUAAAACUGAUACCUGUUCCAAAAUUACUGCUACUUGAAUCAAAUUUAGUGAAUGUCCUCAAACACUGAACUGUACUGAAGAAGUGAAUGAGCAGGAUCCUCUGGCAGUCUGGGAGGAUGAGUGCAGAUCACUCAGAAUGGUCUCCCCAGUGUUCUUCCUUGCUGUUGCUCAUAUUCACAUGUAACAGAACUAUCCCCUGUGCAUCUAUGUCAGAGUUGCCAUGGUUACUUUGAACACAGUUUAUUUCCUAAUGUGAACACAGUUUGGUACAGAGUGCACAGAGGGAACUGCGGUAUCCUCUGAGGUGCACAAAUGUCACAAAUAUCACCUCCAUUGCAUUCAUGGCUGUGCCAAGGUCCUAAUCUUUAGGUGUCAGCCAGUUUUAGAAUUGCUGGGUAAGGUCACAACCUCUUUCUUUCCCUCAAGUAUCAGUCGCAUUGUAACUCUGUUAAGUUCUCCUGCACUUUCACACAUGGGAUACACGAAGUGUCUCUUUAUAAAGAGGUGCAAAACAAUGUAAACGUAGGGCAGUUUUGUUGUCCUGAAAGUAACAAUAGAACCUAAUUCACAGAAUUCUGUCAAUGCUCUCCACAAUUUUGAGGAAAUACUACUUUCUUCCAAGAAGAUGUGCAACGUUGUAAUGGAGGCUGUAAGUUUGGGAACUUUUUUUUUUGUCAUCCUCUGUUUCUCAACUUAUCUAGUAUGUAAUAUCAGAACUAGGCCAAUUUUAUGUCACUUCAAGGACAAUUGUGAACUUCUAUAUGCAUUUUUUUUUUAAUGGAUGGAGUGUUAAUUUUGCUUUUAUCUACUUUAAAGAAAGCAGUUCCAUGUCUGCCUUUCCUGCUUAGAAAUGUAGAGCACAAGUCAGUCAAGCCCUGUGCAUAUUCAACUGCGUGUGUGCCUUUUGUAGCUUUACCAGUGCUAAUGCUGCGAAUGGAGCAGAAAAAGUAAAGGACUGGUGAUUGGCCACAGGGCAAAGAAUGGAAGAUCAAGAACAACAUUCUAAAUAGAUACAGUUGUUUUUUUUUAUUUCCAACUACAAAAAUGCAUCCAACUAAAGCCCAAGAACAUAGUGACUUCUCACCCUUUCCCCUAUAAGUAGACUUUUCUGUAUUGCUUUUUUUUUUUUUAUUCAGUCAUUAGACCUGUUGGGAUAUUACAAGCCUAUUGGCCUAUAAAGCCCUAAAGGAUUUUAGUUGAAUCUUAGGACAGGUUCAAUUUAAUGAAAUGUCUUUGACAUGCGCUUAAGGGGGCUUCUUCAGAUUUGCCUGAAUACUUGGUGAGAUACCUUGUGAUUUAUUUCCAUUAAUUAUCAAGAUAGGUGGUAUAGGAUGUCUUUAUCAACUGGAGAUUUUUACAGUGUAAUCAUAAGAGUUAGACUGAGUUUGUUCUUACCUAGCUAGACUGAAAGGUUAGCUGGGUUCCAGCCUGAAUGACUGAAAAUAGUACAUAGAUCUGAGGAUAUAUUCCCACUUAGCACACACUGGGGGGGAGGGGGGAACUAAAAAAUGACUGACCCAUGAAGCGUCUCUCUGCCAACUGUUACAUAUUAAAUCAAUCCUUAAAUAUCAAAGGGGAAGAUGCUUUUUCAAGAGGGUUUGGAAAUACGUAAGAACAUCAUUUCACCACCUGCUUCCACCCAGAAGAAUGUGGAAUGAAAGUUCUGCCCAGGAGAACCUAUAGCAUUAGAGGAUAUGGGAAACAUGCUUAAAAUGGAUAAUAAAAUAUUCCCUUUUCCCAAAAAUUAAUAAAAUUAGAAUGAGAGAGGUUGAUAUAAACUUCAAGAGAGAGAGAACAGCAGCACAAUUUCAGAGAAUAGCUGUUGCUAAUCAGCAGUUGGGAGAGUCAUAGGUGCUACUAAGCCUAUUUAAGAGCAUUUUCAUCUGAUAGGAUAAAAGAUUUUUUGCCACCAGUGAUAACUUCUCACCUGUACCAUUUUUUUUUUUUCUCAGAAACUUCUUUGAACUUUAACUACAAACUAAUUCUCCAAUCACAUGGUACACAACAGAAAGGUUUUAGCAGAGGCCUCUUGUGAAACAUAAUUAGGAAGUGGAUAUUGAAAGAGUGAAUGGAUAAAUCUAGGUAUUUCUUUGGCAUCAGGAAAUAAAUUGUAAGCUUCUACUUUAGUGAUUAAGUGCAACAUCAUUAUGAAAGUUUCUCCCCAUCUCUUGAUUAAAACAUAAAUAUUGUGUAUUUUAUUAAAUGUCUCUUCUGUAAGUUUCUGACACAAUAAAAGCAAAAGU